AGCUUUGCGCAGUGGCAGUAUCGUAGCCAAUGAGGUUUAUCCGAGGCGCGAUUAUUGCUAAUUAAAAAAUAUUUGUCUACCCCAGGUCCUUUGUUUUCUCUUAAAAACGUUAUUGUUUCAUUUUUCACAUUCAGUCCAUCUAA